rnacentral:ncRNA from 23 species
GGAAGUCGAGGGCAGAAAAGGUUCCUGCCGCACCUGAGAAGGUAUCUGAGAUGCUGGGUACGCCGACCAGCCGUCUUCC